rnacentral:rRNA from 1 species
UACGGAGGGUGCAAGCGUUAUCCGGAUUCACUGGGUUUAAAGGGUGCGUAGGCGGAUUUGUAAGUCCGUGGUGAAAUCUCCGAGCUUAACUCGGAAACUGCCAUGGAUACUAUAAGUCUUGAAUGUUGUGGAGGUUUGCGGAAUAUGUCAUGUAGCGGUGAAAUGCUUAGAUAUGACAUAGAACACCGAUUGCGAAGGCAGCAGGCUACACAAAUAUUGACGCUGGAGGCACGAAAGCGUGGGGAUCAAACAGGA